GUGGGUGUAGCUCAGUGGUAGAGCACUUGCCUAGCAUUCAGGAGGCCCUGGGUUCGAUCCCUAGCACCACACA
rfam:Fukomys damarensis contig83816, whole genome shotgun sequence.